GUACUCUGGUUUCUCUUCAAAUCAUGUAAAUCUCUCAUCUUUCACUAAAGAUUACCAAGGAGAGGGAUAACUGAGUCUUGAGCCAAGUUUUUGAUGCUUUGCUUCUUUAGAACU
ensembl:snRNA U5 U5 spliceosomal RNA